rnacentral:rRNA from 1 species
CUACGGGCGGCUGCAGUGGGGAAUAUUGCACAAUGGGCGCAAGCCUGAUGCAGCCAUGCCGCGUGUGUGAAGAAGGCCUUCGGGUUGUAAAGCACUUUCAGCGGGGAGGAAGGCGGUGAGGUUAAUAACCUCAUCGAUUGACGUUACCCGCAGAAGAGGCACCGGCUAACUCCGUGCCAGCAGCCGCGGUAAUACGGAGGGUGCAAGCGUUAAUCGGAAUUACUGGGCGUAAAGCGCACGCAGGCGGUCUGUCAAGUCGGAUGUGAAAUCCCCGGGCUCAACCUGGGAACUGCAUUCGAAACUGGCAGGCUAGAGUCUUGUAGAGGGGGGUAGAAUUCCAGGUGUAGCGGUGAAAUGCGUAGAGAUCUGGAGGAAUACCGGUGGCGAAGGCGGCCCCCUGGACAAAGACUGACGCUCAGGUGCGAAAGCGUGGGGAGCAAACAGGAUUAAUACCCGGGUAGUC